GGGAAUCUACCGUGCCCUGCGGAAUAGCUCCGGGAAACUGGAAUUAAUACCGCAUACGCCCUACGGGGGAAAGAUUUAUCGGGGUAUGAUGAGCCCGCGUUGGAUUAGCUAGUUGGUGGGGUAAAGGCCUACCAAGGCGACGAUCCAUAGCUGGUCUGAGAGGAUGAUCAGCCACAUUGGGACUGAGACACGGCCCAAACUCCUACGGGAGGCAGCAGUGGGGAAUAUUGGACAAUGGGCGCAAGCCUGAUCCAGCCAUGCCGCGUGAGUGAUGAAGGCCUUAGGGUUGUAAAGCUCUUUCACCGGUGAAGAUAAUGACGGUAGCCGGAGAAGAAGCCCCGGCUAACUUCGUGCCAGCAGCCGCGGUAAUACGAAGGGGGCUAGCGUUGUUCGGAAUUACUGGGCGUAAAGCGCACGUAGGCGGAUAUUUAAGUCAGGGGUGAAAUCCCAGAGCUCAACUCUGGAACUGCCUUUGAUACUGGGUAUCUUGAGUAUGGAAGAGGUAAGUGGAAUUGCGAGU
rnacentral:rRNA from 1 species